UCUUCCCUGCGGACAUAGCCCGGAAGUGGUUGCAAUCACCCUCCCCGGGGCAGUGCUCGGUCCCGGCCCAGCUCGGUAUGGGUGUUCUGGUGAGAUCCGCUGCUCGGCAGCUGUGCUACGCGGCUCGCGCGGUCAUUCCCUGUACUUGGAGAGGGAAAUACUUCAGCUCCGGCAGUGAUGAGCCGGCAGCAAACAACCGGGUGACGCCUAUGCUACGGCAUCUUAUGUACAAAAUAAAGUCUACCGGCCCCAUCACUGUGGCCGAGUACAUGAAGGAGGUGUUGACCAACCCAGCCAAGGGAAAAGCUGAAGCUGUAAGCGACGUGAUGAUAAAAAGCCUGCAGGUGUUGGAUACAGAAUGGCAGUCCACAGCAUUAGGCUUGGCUAAGAGAAGGGGAAGGCAUUUGUCCUUUGCUUCCCAGAGAGAGUAUACAUGGGACCUGGGAGCUGGUGGAAGCCAGGGAUAUUAUAUGCACCGUGAUAUGCUAGGAGAAAAAGGAGAUUUCAUUACUUCACCUGAAAUAAGCCAGAUCUUUGGGGAGCUACUAGGCAUAUGGUUCAUUAGUGAGUGGAUGGCCACUGGGAAGAAUGUAGCUUUCCAGCUGGUGGAACUGGGCCCGGGUCGGGGCACCCUCAUGGGAGAUAUUUUGAGGGUGUUCAGUCAGCUUGGAUCUGUGCUAAAAAACUGUGACAUUUCAAUACACCUAGUAGAGGUGAGCCAGAACUUAAGUGAGCUUCAAGCAUUGACACUAACUGAAGCAAAGAUCCCAUUAGAGCAAAAUCCUGAAUCCCUAGUGUAUAUGAAAGGUGUUACUAAAUCUGGGCUCCCAAUAUCCUGGUAUCGAGAUCUACAGGAUGUUCCAAAAGGAUACAGCUUUUUUCUUGCACAUGAAUUUUUUGAUGUUCUUCCUGUGCAUAAGUUUCAGAAAACACCCCAAGGAUGGAGAGAAGUACUCAUUGAUAUUGACCCACAAGUUUCUGGUAAACUGAGGUUUGUUUUGGCGCCUUGUGUCACCCCAGCACAAGCUUUUCUACAACAUGAUGAAAUAAGGGAUCAUGUUGAAGUAUGUCCUGAUGCUGGGGUUAUCAUUCAAGAACUUUCUGAACGCAUUGCACUCACUGGAGGUGCUGCACUAAUUGCAGAUUAUGGUCAUGAUGGGACAAAGACGGAUACCUUCAGAGGGUUUUGUGGCCAUGAGCUUCAUGAUGUCUUAAUUGCCCCUGGGACAGCAGACCUAACAGCCGAUGUGGACUUCAGUUACUUGCGCAGGAUGGCACAAGGAAAAGUAGCCUCACUGGGUCCAACAGAACAACAAACAUUUUUAAAAAAUAUGGGUAUUGAUGUCCGGCUGAAGGUUCUUUUCAAUAAAUCAGAUGAGCCAUCAGUGAGGCAGCAGUUACUUCAGGGGUAUGAUAUGUUAAUGAACCCUCAGAAGAUGGGAGAAAGAUUUAACUUCUUUGCCUUGCUACCUCAUGAGAGACUUCAUGGUAGAAGCCAUCACAUCAAUGCAUGCCAGUCAAGGCCCUCUGCAUCCCCUGUGGCUGGGUUUGGUGAAUUGGCUUGGCAGUGAUAUUUCAGCUUGCAGUUUUAUCCUCCAGUUUGCCUAAGAAAUCAAAAUAAAGGGAACACAUUUCAUACAUUUAAGAUGUCAACCUACAAGGAACAGUUAUGCAGCAAAAUAUUAGUCCAUAAAAUGAAACCCUUAUUGAAGUUAGUUUACUGAUAAUUAAGGAUCUUCUUCCAUGUCAUCCGGAUUAGGAGCCAUAAUGAAGUGCUUUGGGUAUACCAGGUUAUGUGUGUAUGCAUGGAUUUCCCAGCGAGCAUCAUCACUUUCAUGUGUAAUGUAACGUUCUCCGAUGCGAGUUUCAAAUUCUCUAAGGUCAAGCCACGUCUGAUAGUCCUAGGAAAAAAAUGAAAUGAUUAUGAACUAUAAAAUAAAACACUGGCAGCCUUUU